AAGCUUCUUUUGUCCUCCAACUACUUCUAAACGACAUAGAACCUAUAAUAGAAUAUGUAUUGGAAGGAGAAUAUAAUGGUUCGAGAACAUUGAAAAGCCUUGCCGGCGAGAGAAGAAAAAAAUAUCUUGCUCCAGCUUUAAUAAGUCUAAUCAGACGUCGUGUAAUAGAUGGAUCUGUGGACCAUGUAGAUAAUGAUGCCUCUUUAUUGGCGAAGUGUCGUUUCCUAGGAAUAUACUGGAGUACACAAUUUCCAGAAUCAUACCUAAUUAAAGUUGAAAUUGACUCAACUACACACCAUACAUGUAUCUUAACGAAUAAACAUAAUGCCAAAAGGAUAUAUAAAAAAAUUGGUGACACGUGGUACCAACUACUAGAGGAACAGUUACAAUUGGGAAUUUCACAAGUUCCAUCCACAAUAGGCGGGAGUGAAUACCGCGGCACCACAUCCUAACCAGUGCGUUGCGUUGGGGACAAAAGCUGUAGGCACCGUCGCUCCGAUGGACUCUUAUUCUUAGUUUUUUUGAACUAUUGAAAACCGUAAUUGAUUACAUAAAAACAUUUUUCGUAAAUUAUUUAUUUGUUUCUUGAAAAAAAAAUUAUUGGUGAACGUAUCAGUCGAUAACGUCGCUACGCGUCCACCGCAUGAUUAACAAAUAAGAAUUAAAAUUUAAAAACAAUAAUGAUAAUAAUAAUGUUAGAAAAACACCGGCAUCUGUUUUCUG